CAGAGAAUCUUCACCGGAGUUCUUUUCAUUGGAUAAGCAGAUACACAACAGCUGAAGAAAGAUGUCUUGCGAACGGAACCAGUGCUAUGCAACCUGCCCUCCCAUGACCGUUACGAUCCAGCCCCCACCCUUUGUUCUUUCCAUCCCUGGUCCCUCAAUCUACUGCCCUGAUCAACCACUUUGCAUUGAGCAGUACAACCCAUGUGCACCAGCCUGCCAGGCAAUCAGUAGCGGUGGAUUUGGGACCAUCUCUGCAGGGGGAGUCUCCAGUUCCAAGAUCACCAGCAUUUAUUCUCAGAAGUCGAUGCAAAGAAGUCAAGGGGGCUGCCGUUCUUUCUACUGAUGCUGAGCCCGGAAGUCGCAAUCCACAGAAAAGCUGAGAGCUGAAAAUGAGAAAUCAAUAUCAAUUCUCGGAAUCUGUUCUUGAUGUGUCCACUUUUUCCGUUUUAGGCCAGUUUUUUUAAAAAUUAAAAAGCUUUCUUCCUUCAGCUAAUUUUUAGGAAGGACUUUUAUUUGUUAUUUAUUGAUCUUGUUGCUUAUCAUAUUUCUCCUAUGAGCCCUUCCAGCUGUUAAUGGAAACUUGCACAUCUCCCAUUGACCUCUAGUACAUCUUCAAUGAUUCUGGGGCAUGUCCUGAGACACAUAUAAUAAUAAUAAUAAUAACAUUCAUUUAUAUACCGCCCUUCAGGACAACUUAAUAAUAAUAAUAACAUCCCAUUUAUAUACCGCCCUUCAGGACAACUUAAUGCUCACUCAGAGCGGUUUACAAAGUAUGCCAUUAUUAUCCCCACAACAAAACACCCUGUGAGGUGGGUGGGGCUGAGAGAGCUCCAGAGAACUGUGACUAGCUCAAGGUCACCCAGCUGGCUUCAAGUGGAGGAGUGGGGAAUCAAACCCGGUUCUCCAGAUUAGAGUCCCGCACUCGUAACCAUUACACCAAACUGGCUCUCAAAUUCAGUUCAUGGAGGAAUGCUCUGUCCAGUCUUGCUGUGCCUCACUGAUUCCCCAUGUGAUCUGGGAGUAUGAUCUGAAGUGGUUAAGUCUUUAAGCAAGUUGUCCUUUGGUAAAGCAUUUGUGCCAUUAUCAUGGAAGAACCUUUGCUAAAUUUUUGAAGGAUCCCAAGUUUCAUUGGACAGAAUUUGAAAACCACUGUUGUAGAUUAUGGCAUGCAAAAACAGAUUAUGCAUUGUACUUACUUGAUAUUGUUCUUUGCUGAAACUGUGGAAUUGUGCAUCUCUUCAGCUGCAGAAUAAAAACCGACACUUUAUCAAAGCCUCA